CCCUGUGGCUCAGUUGGUAGAGCAUGGUGUUUGCAAUGCCAGCAUGGUGUGUGCAACGCCAGGGUUGUGGGUUCAAUUCCCACAGGGG
rnacentral:tRNA from 1 species